rnacentral:miRNA from 1 species
GCCAUGGUUUUGAGAGGACUUCUUUUUUGUUUUUUGAAGUUGUCCUAGCAAGACUAAGAUAGAGUAUCACUGAGAGAACUUGUACGAAG